rnacentral:rRNA from 1 species
AUUGAACGCUGGCGGCAGGCCUAACACAUGCAAGUCGAGCGAGCGGCGGACGGGUGAGUAAUGUCUGGGAAACUGCCUGAUGGAGGGGGAUAACUACUGGAAACGGUGGCUAAUACCGCAUACCAUCAGAUGUGCCCAGAUGGGAUUAGCUGGUAGGUGGGGUAACGGCUCACCUAGGCGAAGAUCCCUAGCUGGUCUGAGAGGAUGACCAGCCACACUGGACCAGAGACACGGUCCAUACUCCUCCGGUAGGCAGCAGUGGGGAAUAUUGCACAAUGGGCGCAAGCCUGAUGCAGCCCUGCCGCGUGUGUGAAGAAGGCCUUCGGUUUUUAAAGCACUUUCAGCGGGGAGGCGUUACCCGCAGAAGAAGCACCGGCUAACUCCGUGCCAGCAGCCGCGGUAAUUC